GAUGAAGAACGCAGCGAAAUGCGAUAAGUAAUGUGAAUUGCAGAAUUCAGUGAAUCAUCGAAUCUUUGAACGCACCUUGCGCUCCUUGGUAUUCCGAGGAGCAUGCCUGUUUGAGUGUCAUUUAAUUCUCAACCCCUUCCAGCUUUGUCUGGUUUGGUGGCUUGGAUGUGGGGGGAAAAUUUGCGGGCCUUCUUUAUAGAGGUCGGCUCCCCUGAAAUGCAUUAGCGGAACCGUUUGCGGGGUCCGUCACUGGUGUGAUAAUUAUCUACGCCAAAGACGACCGCUCUCAGUAGCUCUGCUUCUAAUAGUCCCUUAUGUCGGACAACAAUACAUGAAUACUUGACCUCAAAUCAGGUAGGACUACCCGCUGAACUUAAGCAUAUCAAUAAGCGGAGGA
rnacentral:misc_RNA from 1 species